ACAGAAACUGCACCUAGAAGAAAUUCGGACCGAGCUGAGGCUAUGACAGUUUGAGAAGACACAGAAUUGGGUCUGCUUUGGGGGAGAACCAAGCCUAAGAUGAAGUUUGACUCCAGUCUGGGCCCUGCCUCUUCAAGAUCUGGGUCCUCAAGAAAUGUUGGAGACCUGAGAUGAAAAAGCCUUUGAGAACUGAUCUCUCCCAAUACACAGAGCUUUGCAGCCUGGAUCUGCCCAUGCUAUCCCCAUUCCCAGAAGGAAUGACCUGCAAUUUAUAUAUUCCAGGACUGAAAAUUUACAGUUGCUGAUAAAAUAUAAAUCUAUAUGCAUUGAAUAAAAAUUAU